AGCCAUGGCGGCUAACGCUACCACUAACCCGUCGCAGCUGCUUCCUCUAGAGCUUGUGGACAAGUGUAUAGGAUCAAGAAUUCACAUUGUGAUGAAGAGUGAUAAAGAGAUUGUUGGCACACUUCUGGGAUUUGAUGACUUUGUCAAUGUGGUAUUGGAAGAUGUCACUGAAUUUGAAAUCACACCAGAAGGAAGAAUUACUAAAUUAGAUCAAAUUUUGCUAAAUGGAAAUAAUAUAACAAUGCUGGUUCCUGGAGGAGAAGGACCUGAAGUAUGAAUGAAUUUCCUUGACGUAUGCUUAGGUUCUGUUUUCUUUUAUAAUGACAACAAAAUAGAAUUUUUUUUUAACCUUUUAAUGUUUGUAUUCUGUGAAGCCAAGUUUCCCGUUAAAGGGAAAUGCUUUGAAGAGACACAU